GAGCAGGGUCGAGCUUCAGGGACCUGGCAAGGAUUUCAUAAUUCCUCCCCAGCAGAGCUCUGGUUUCCAGGGAGUGCCAGGCAGGGACUGCCUUCAGGUCUAGCCUGGUAAGGACAGCAGGGAACCUGGCUGGGGACCUGGCUGCUGGCAACAGAAACCAUGAGGUGUAAUGUACCGUGAAACAUACCAAGACCGCAAUGGUUAUGUCACCUACUAUGUUUAAGAUGUCUGAAAUAUUUCUUAGAUUAAAGGGUUAAG
rnacentral:lncRNA from 1 species